rnacentral:rRNA from 1 species
CUGGGACUGAGACACGGCCCAGACUCCUACGGGAGGCAGCAGUGGGGAAUAUUGCACAAUGGGCGCAAGCCUGAUGCAGCAACGCCGCGUGAGGGAUGACGGCCUUCGGGUUGUAAACCUCUUUUAGCAGGGAAGAAGCGAAAGUGACGGUACCUGCAGAAAAAGCGCCGGCUAACUACGUGCCAGCAGCCGCGGUAAUACGUAGGGCGCAAGCGUUAUCCGGAAUUAUUGGGCGUAAAGAGCUCGUAGGCGGUUUGUCGCGUCUGCUGUGAAAUCCCGAGGCUCAACCUCGGGCCUGCAGUGGGUACGGGCAGACUAGAGUGCGGUAGGGGAGAUUGGAAUUCCUGGUGUAGCGGUGGAAUGCGCAGAUAUCAGGAGGAACACCGAUGGCGAAGGCAGAUCUCUGGGCCGUAACUGACGCUGAGGAGCGAAAGGGUGGGGAGCAAACAGGCUUAGAUACCCUGGUAGUCCACCCCGUAAACGUUGGGAACUAGUUGUGGGGUCCAUUCCACGGAUUCCGUGACGCAGCUAACGCAUUAAGUUCCCCGCCUGGGGAGUACGGCCGCAAGGCUAAAACUCAAAGGAAUUGACGGGGACCCGCACAAGCGGCGGAGCAUGCGGAUUAAUUCGAUGCAACGCGAAGAACCUUACCAAGGCUUGACAUAUACGAGAACGGGCCAGAAAUGGUCAACUCUUUGGACACUCGUAAACAGGUGGUGCAUGGUUGUCGUCAGCUCGUGUCGUGAGAUGUUGGGUUAAGUCCCGCAACGAGCGCAACCCUCGUUCUAUGUUGCCAGCACGUAAUGGUGGGAACUCAUGGGAUACUGCCGGGGUCAACUCGGAGGAAGGUGGGGAUGACGUCAAAUCAUCAUGCCCCUUAUGUCUUGGGCUUCACGCAUGCUACAAUGGCCGGUACAAAGGGCUGCAAUACCGCGAGGUGGAGCGAAUCCCAAAAAGCCGGUCCCAGUUCGGAUUGAGGUCUGCAACUCGACCUCAUGAAGUCGGAGUCGCUAGUAAUCGCAGAUCAGCAACGCUGCGGUGAAUACG